AUAUUAUAACACCUAUGGUUAUCUUCAUUGUACCGCAUGUACCUUGGAAUCUAAGACCGAUUCCAGUACCGAGGGCACAUUUACCUAAAUUGGUGGAACUAUUGAAAGAAAAGAUAAAGAUGAAAAUAUUAGAACCUUCAUUUGCGCCGUAUUCUAGUCGAUGGUUUAUGGUACCUAAGAAGAAUGGGUCACUGCGGUUUAUUCAAGAUAUGCAGCCAGUGAAUGCUGUAA
rnacentral:lncRNA from 1 species